UACGUAGGAGGCAAGCGUUGUCCGGAUUUGCUGGGUGUAAAGGGCGCGUAGGCGGGAUGAUAAGUCAGAUGUGAAAUCUCCAGGCUUAACCUGGAAGCUGCAUUUGAAACUGUCGUUCUUGAGUGUCGGAGAGGCAAGUGGAAUUCCUAGUGUAGCGGUGAAAUGCGUAGAUAUUAGGAGGAACACCAGUGGCGAAGGCGACUUGCUGGACGAUAACUGACGCUGAGGCGCGAAAGCGUGGGGAGCAAACAGG
rnacentral:rRNA from 1 species